UCAAUCAGCCAUGGAGCACCAUCCGCUCAGCAGAUGAGCACUCAGGCUGUGGCACAUGAGCCUGAGUGACAUCAGCCCUGCCUGCUCUCUACUGAGGGCCAAACUCCAAGACGUGGGUAGAGGGGCUGGCAGCACCAGGACACACAAGCCUGCUGAAAUCUCCCUGCUGAAUGCUAGUGACCUUGACCUCUCUUGUAAUGAGGAAAGGAGCCUGAAGUUCAAUGUUUAUCGACCACAGAAACAAAAUGAGGCUGGAAUGAAGCGGGGGCCACCUGGGGAUACCCCAGGAGAAGGAAGCAAUGACCACCAGCCCAAGCAUAAGCUACCAAAUAGGUGCACAGCAGGGCAGUGUGGCCCACUUAGGAGUCCAUAAUCCCCUCAAACCUGAGGGCUAAGCUGUGACAGAUUCUGAGUGUACUAUAAAAUGCCUACCAUGAAGAACCACUGGCUGAGAGGUCACCAUUAUUUCUAGAAUGGCCUACUAGGAAGCAAAAUCUAACAAGUAGACCCAGGAAGGGCACGGGCAAGGUGGUCUGGUCUAUGGUGGGCCGCAGGAACAGGCAAAGAUGGUGCGACUAGCUUACAGCUACUGCAAAAACCCUGAGGAACUUGUAACCAGGCCUUUCCGAUCACCCACCAGGUGCCCAGCCGCCUGCAGCUCCAAAUACCUGAGCCAUGGUCGUGGGCCCUGCAGGCUUCCUGUGCGACUGCCACGAAUCCAGCCUGCAUGUUUGGGGAUGAUGCCUUCCAGAGCGAAAGUAGAGUCUUACAAUGGUGGGAAACACUGUGUUUCAGUUCAGUAACACGAAACGGAACUUAGACUACCCUGUCGCCCCAGAAAGACCAGCAUCUGUUUACUUAACUCACACACAGAACUUGCCACGCACAGAACUCGAGUCAGAUAUCUCUGCAGCUUGUCCGGGAUGCUCACCCAGAGGAAAAUGACAGAUACUUUCCCUUUCCAUGACUGCCUUGUCUAGGUGAU
rnacentral:lncRNA from 1 species